AUUGAACGCUGGCGGCAGGCUUAACACAUGCAAGUCGAGCGAGCGGCGGACGGGUGAGUAAUGUCUGGGAAACUGCCUGAUGGAGGGGGAUAACUACUGGAAACGGUAGCUAAUACCGCAUACCAUCAGAUGUGCCCAGAUGGGAUUAGCUAGUAGGUGGGGUAAUGGCUCACAUAGGCGACGAUCCCUAGCUGGUCUGAGAGGAUGACCAGCCACACUGGAACUGAGAAACGGUCCAGAGUCCGACGGGAGGAAGCAGUGGGGAAUAUUGAACAAUGGGGGAAAGCCUGAGACAGCCAUGCCGCGUGGGGGAAGAAGGCCUUCGGGUGGUAAAGCACUUUCAGCGAGGAGGCGUUACUCGCAGAAGAAGCACCGGCUAACUCCGUGCCAGCAGCCGCGGUAAUUC
rnacentral:rRNA from 1 species